ensembl:lncRNA
GUGGGUGGAUCCAUGGAGGAGGCGUGCAGAGACACUGAGGUGGGGUGGAUCCAUGGAGGAGGCAGAGACACUGAGGUGGGGUGGAUCCAUGGAGGAGGCAGAGACACUGAGGUGGGAUGGAUCCAUGGAGGAGGCAGAGACACUGAGGUGGUGUGGAUCCAUGGAGGAGGCAGAGACACUGAGGUGGGUGGAUCCAUGGAGGAGGCAGAGACACUGAGGUGGGGUGGAUCCAUGGAGGAGGCAGAGACACUGAGGUGGGAUGGAUCCAUGGAGGAGGCAGAGACACUGAGGUGGGGUGGAUCCAUGGAGGAGGCAGAGACACUGAGGUGGAUCCAUGGAGGAGGCAGAGACACCGAGGUGGGGUGGAUCCAUGGAGGAGGCGUGCAGAGACACUGAGGUGGGUGGAUCCAUGGAGGAGGCGUGCAGAGACACUGAGGUGGGGUGGAUCCAUGGAGGAGGCAGAGACACCGAGGUGGGGUGGAUCCAUGGAGGAGGCAGAGACACUGAGGUGGAUCCAUGGAGGAGGCAGAGACACCGAGGUGGGGUGGAUCCAUGGAGGAGGCGUGCAGAGACACUGAGGUGGGUGGAUCCAUGGAGGAGGC